rnacentral:tRNA from 1 species
CUAAAAUCCGUUGGCUUUUUAGACCGUGAGGGUUCAAGUCCCUCUAUCCCCA